rnacentral:rRNA from 1 species
AGACGAACUGCCGUUGACAAAACGGAGGAAGUGGGGAUGACGUCAAAUCAUCAUGCCCCUUAUGUUCUGGGCUACACACGUGCUACAAUGGCCGGUACAGACGGACGCAAAGCCGCGAGGUGGAGCAAAUCCUAAAAAGCCGGUCUCAGUUCGGAUUGCAGGCUGCAAUUCGCCUGCAUGAAGUCGGAAUCGCUAGUAAUCGCAGGUCAGCAUACUGCGGUGAAUACGUUCCCGGGCCUU